CCUACGGGUGGCAGCAGUGGGGAAUCUUCCGCAAUGGGCGAAAGCCUGAAGGAGCAACGCCGCGUGAUCGAAUGAAGGCCUUCGGGUUGUAAAGAUCUGUUGACAGGGACGAAUAAGCAAUGCGAAUAGUUUUGUGUAUGACGGUACCUGUUUAGAAAGCUCCGGCUAACUACGUGCCAGCAGCCGCGGUAAUACGGAGGGAGCAAGCGUUGUCCGGAAUUACUGGGCGUAAAGGGCGCGUAGGUGGGCGCUUAAGUCAGGUGUGAAAACUCCGGGCUCAACCUGGAGACUGCACUUGAAAUGGCGUUCCUGGAGGGCAGGAGAGGAAAGGGGAAUCGCUAGGGUAGCGGGGAA
rnacentral:rRNA from 1 species